GUUUAAGGGUCCUGAGGACACAGGUUCUUGAAUCACUUGGUGUCACAGGUCAUCAUCCUUAGGAAAAUAAGUGUGAUCAAUGUGAGCCCUCCGGAAGAAAGACUUCACCUGCACAAGGACACAGCUGGUGCUAACAGCCCCCAGAGCACUAUUGGAUGAGCCCUGGCCAGCUGUGGUUAAUUACUCCCACGUGGUGCUCGCUGUGGCUAUUAGGGAUGUUACACAGUGGUGUCUUAUUUGUCUUUCAGUUCCUCCUUGCAGAGGCAGAGAGAGGGUAGAUCUGUAGGAAGGUAAAAUAAAGGGAGAUUUCUGCUCUCACCUCUUCUUUCAGUAAGCAGAAAAAAACUUUAGCAGAGCAGCUAUUCUCUGCUCCUCCUUGAAGAAGAGAAGCUUUCUUAUUAAGCUUGUCCACACAACAGUAAAGCCUGAAUUUGACAUCUUCUUCUUAGGCUGCCAACAUCAAAGAGCAAAAGAGCACAGGUUUUGACUAUACAGGGCUGAAAACAAAGACAUCCAAACCUUGAGCUAAACAGAAGAGGAAGAAGCCAAAAUCUUUGCCAGAGGUUUGACUGCUGGGUUUACUCAUGGCUUCAGUUUUGGAGGUCUGUCCAGAAGAGGUGCAAGAGAAGUAAAAGUGGUUCAGGAACUGAUAACCAGACAGAAAGGACUUCAGAAGGAUGAGGAAAAUAUUGGAUGUCUCUAUCAAACAAGUGACGGAUGAAGAGAGCAGUGCCUUUUCAUUCUUGCCUUACUCUGGAUUUCCUCCCUUCCAGCUGGACAGAGGAGUCUGCACACACUGUGCAAGCAGAAGUGCCUGUCUCCUGGUUGUGAUGACAAACAACCACAGGUGCAAACACUUUAGUACCUCCACACUCAUCUCUCUCCUAUUAACAAGCUCUGAUCUCCGCAAGAUCUUCUCUCAUCCUCCUGAUACUCUGGAUCAUCAGGUUCUCUCUAUGAGCUCAGAUGUUUUACAUUGGCUUCUCAUCAACUUUAUUCUCCACAUCUGGAAGCCCCUCUGCUCUGUCUGCAUCCCCAGGUGUCAACGGUUUACGGGCGUUCGGCCCGGUUCUGUGACGAAGGGGACGGGGGAUCCACGGGUCCACGCCUCGGGAAAAAGGGAAAAGGGAAAAAGGGUAAGGAGAUGGCCCUGA
rnacentral:lncRNA from 1 species